rnacentral:lncRNA from 1 species
ACAUAACUAGGAGCGUCAUUUUCAAUAGAGGACCCUCCCCCCCCCCCCCCCCCCUCCACCGAUAUGUCUCCUUCUGAAAACAAAGAAACCAUUUUCAUGGCUUUUGGCUGAGCAAAAACAAAGCAGCCAUCUCACAAACAACCACCCUCAACUUUCCAUUUUCCACCCAAAGACCAUCCCUGAAUUUCAUCUUCUCAACGCCUAAAGACAUCAGCCGCAGAACAGAACAAAAAUGACCCUGCCCUUCAUAUUCUUCGGUGCUAAUGCACAAACAGAGACCCCAUGUACAAAGCUCUUAAAAGCUCAAUGAAAAGCUCAGUGAAAAGCAUUUAAAAGCAUCACAAACCCAUCGUAAGAAAAGCUCAAUGAAAAGCAGCUACAAAUCUCCUGCCAAAUAAUCACAAACCCAUCGUAAGAAAAGCAUCACUGCCAGCCACAUAUAAUCAACACAAACCUCCACCAAAGUCCAGCCCGAAAAUGCCACCAUGGAUUCGAGUCGAGCCGACGAGCUUUCCAUUAGCAGAUCCGAGGUGCCAAUUCGAGGUUCGUUGUUGGAUUCUGUCGCGGUUCUGCUCGUUGUUGAGUUUCACAAUAAUAAAAGUCAGAUCCUUAAUUUGAGGUCUACCCUUCAUCUUUGUUUCUUCUAUGCUUUUCUGAACAAUGAUUCCAUGUUAGAUUUAAGUUGCUCUUAAUGCUUGAACAUGCUUUUCGCGCCUGAAGGACUGUCUUAUCUUCUUGUACUCAUUGAUUUGACAUUUUUGAGCAUGCUAAAUAGUUUAAGUUAAUACAGUAGGAUUUUCAUUCAUUUUAAGUAGAUACAUAAGUAUGUGAAUGAGUUAUUUAGUAGUGGCGUGAGUUUUUGAACUAAAAUAUAAGUUUGAGUCCUUGGAAUUUUGAGUGGGAUUGGGAAUAAAAAAAGGUAUAAAAUAAAUAAGUUUUCAUGUCAGCGGGAGGAUAGUUUCAAUCAUACUUCAAUUUGGAAUAUAAUUCUUUGAUUUAUUGAUUCAUGCCUACGACUUGCUUAGAUCGUUAGGAACAGCUUUCCCUAUAAUAAAACUGACGCGUGCCAUUCAUACAAUUGAAUCACAUAAUUGUCAUAGCUACGGGUAUGAUUCCCGUGACGUAGUUGUGAUGCUUGAUUUCUAAAAUAUGGGGGUACAUUUAUGUGACUCGGCCACAAUUUAACCUUGUUAAUAAAUAAAACUUGUUGUGGAUUGUGGGUACGGUUCUCGUGACAUGAUUCGCAACGUGUAAUCAAAUAAUUAGUUGCAUAACAAUUGGAUUAUUAAAAGCGGUUUUAAAAGGGAUAAAAUGCACAUAGGUUUAAAAUGUGUAAUUAAUCAGAUAAUUAGGCCAAUAAUAACAGUUGAGCGACCGUGCUAGAACCACGGAACUUGGGAAUGCCUAACACCUUCUCUUGGGUUAAUAGAAUUCCUUACCCGGAUUUCUAUGUUCGUAAACUGUAAAUAGAGUCAAUCUUCCUCGAUUCGGGAUUUUAACCGGUGACUUGGGACACCAUAAAUUAUCCCAAGUGGUGACUCUAAAUUUUAAAUAAAAUAAUCAUGUUUUAAUUGUCACUUCAAUUGGAAAAACCUCCCUUAAUAUCCCCUGCGGAGUGGUAAAAAGGAGGUGUGACAAUCCCAGUUGAAGUCGGGGAACCUAGAUUCAGGUUUCAGCAUGCCACCGAGGACUCAAAUCACAAAGAUAUGAACACUUCUCUCGAACUACUAGAUGAAAAACGUGAGGCCGCACUAAUUUGAAUGGUCGCACGAAAACAAAGGAUCGAAAGGUAUUAUAACAGAAGGACGAACCUUCGAUAUUUCGGAGUCAGGAACUUAGUCCUAAGGAAAGUCACUCUCAACACUCAAGACCCAAAUGAAGGGAAACUAGGCCCCACUUGGGAAGGACACUACCGUGUCCUCGGAGUUAUAGGGAAAGGAUUCUACAAACUUAGCACAAUGGAUGGCGAGCAACUACCGAACAAUUGGAAUGUAUCGUUGCUCAAACGCUAAUACUCCUGAGGUAUGACCUUCUCGCCCUUUCUAUUUGUAUUUAAAACUAACUCCUUGCAGAUAUUCAAUUGGAAACAUCGAGGCACCUUUCAGCUCGAAGACUUUGGGUUUAAAGCAUGUGUGGCACUCUUUUUCCCUUAGAUCGGGUUUUAUCCCAAAGGGGUUUUAACGACACGGUUUUUGACGAGGCAAUACCUAUAUGCUACCUAAGGAAUAUUCAACAAGUAUUCAAGGCUUCUUUUCAAUCAACCUUGAACACUGGGGGCAUCACCCUCAGAGAACGCAUCCUCGAAGAAAGCAAUUCAUGCCAAGGAGGGCCUCGAUAAGGGAAUGUUGUAAUGGGCCAAACGGUCAAAUGAACCGUGUCCAUGUAGAAUAGUCGAGCCCCCAGCGGCAAAACAUGUACGCAUAUAUCAAUUAUUUGAAAAAACAUUCUUAUUGUAUCAAAACACUUUGUGCCUCAAAGAAGUCUACUAUUUUCACAUUUAACGGCUCAACGGCCAAAACCUCGAAUGCACCCGAAUACUCGGGGACUGUCAUCGACAACCGACAUAUCGAUCCAUCGAACACUCGAACUUAUUAGACCUCAAAGAGGCACACUCGAGCUCACAAGACCUCGAAGAGGCAUCCCCUUAAUAUUAAGGCCAAGGCCAUCACACUCGGGGACUAAAGGCUACGGCCAUAUAAAAGACUACGGUCAUUUGAAAAGGCUACGGCCAAAAUAAUGCGGCUCGGAGACGUCCGACUUCCUCCAUAAAACUAAAAGGCCUUCAAAUACUUUGAAAAACCGGUUAAAUCAAGCUACCCUCAGAAAAAGCAAAUUAUAAGGGGCUUCGAUAAAAUUAGCCAUCGAAUAAUACGAAGGCUUCGAUAACAUCAGCCUUCAAAAAAACCUCAAGAGGUAUUCGAUCAACAUUGCAUAUCAAAUUACAAACGAGGUUCCAAUCAAGUGAACCAAAUCGAAUGAAUAUGAAUACAAAAAAUACAUGUUAAGGCAUACCAAAAUUUUCACUAAGUCUUUAGCCGGAAAGAGGGAAACAUUUAUAGCCAUUUUAGAGGCCGAACUAGCCCUACAUAAAGAGCCUAAGGGCCAACCCAAAAGAGCCUAAGGGCCAAUCUAAAAGAGCCUAAGGGCCAACCUAAAAGAGCUUAAGGGCCAACCUAAAAAGCCUAAGGGUCAAUAUUUAAAGAGUUUAAAGGCCGAAGCACACCGUGCUCGAGACCUUACCCAACUCAGACUCUGAAGUCCCAAGCUAAAACUUAUUUAUUAUCGAUCAUUGAUCAAAACACAAAACUUGAGGCUCUACUCUACCCCGAAUUUGAAUCAACGCUCAGAGAUUAUAGCAUCAAAAAUCAAGAAAACGUCAAAGAAAAAUUGAAGGCAAACAAUCAAGGAAACUCCUUUCCUUUCUAUAUACGCAAAAAAGAUAUUAUACAGGAGUCUUACAAAGCAAAAAAUUACAAAAUAGAUAGAAAAAAUUCUACCUACACCGGAGGGGCAUCCCCCCCAGACCUGUAACUCCCUUGGGACCAGCCUCUUUCCUAGGGGUAGCUUCUUUGGAAACCCCCUCCUCUUCAUCAUCUUCAACGUGAUCAUCAUCAUCGGAGGAAAGGACAAAUUUGGCAUCAGCCUCAUCUACCUUAGCAUGCUCUAUCUCCUCGGAAAGAUCGAAUCCCUUAGCAUGGAUCUCUUCGAGGGUCUCCCUCCAGGAUCGGUGUCGGGCAUAGUCAUUGCUUCUUUCUCUCGGUCGGAAGCCCCCCUCAACUCCAUCUGAGCAUCGGUAGCAUCCUUCAACUAGAUGUCCACCAUCCUGUCGUCCUUGGUUUGUAUUUCUCUGGCUUCGGCUCGGGCUUCCACAACUUCGGCCUUGGCAUUCGCAACACCAUCCUCGAGCUCGGCUAUUCUACCAGCCUGAACCAAGUUGCUCCCUUGAGCAUUCCGAAGUUGAACCUCGAGGGAUGAUACCUUUGACAGUGCAUCAUUUUUAUCCACAACGAGGGUGUCCAUCUUCGCCUUCCAAUUAUUGCACUCGGCUCGAACUUGAUCUACCUCGCCCCGAAGCUGCCCAGUCAUAUCUAGCUUUUGUUGUAGUUGAGAUAUUGAAGUAUGAGCCUCCAAAGACGGGAGAGGUAGCCCGUAUUUUUUCAGAACAAAAGUUACCUGCUUUUCUAACUCAUUCUCGUAUUCACGAGCUUUGGUCAACUCUGGUCGAAGAUGCUUCAGUUCUUCCUCCUUUUUGUCAAGGAGAAGCCUAAGGGUUUUUUCCUCAUUCGAAGCUCUACGUAACUCGGCUUCACAAUGAUGUAGCUCGGUCUUAAUUUUAUCGAAUACCUACAGAAAGGAAAGAUUGACUAGACAAAAGAGGAAAGUAUGACGUCGGAGAAAUUGCAGUGCCACUAAAAAUUUAAAAUUGAGCAAAGACGUUGAGCCUCCUCGAAUAUUGAGCUUGCAUCUGCUGGGUUGGCCUCAUCGACCCCAGCAAAACAACUCUGGCAAAGGUUGUUUUCACUUGGGACUCCACCUAGCUUGGACGUCUUCAAGUUCUGAGCAUCCCUAACGGCAUCCUGGAAGAAGGCCGGAAAUGACGAUGAAUGACCCGAUGUUCAUGGCCUUGGGGAGAUCAUUCGAGGUGCUCUAUUCAGGGAGAGGAGCUUUGAAGCUCGCUCCCUUUGGUGUAUGUCCAGAAGUUUGAGAAGAAGUUACCACGUCAAGUGAUGCAGGGCCUUCAUCCCUCUUUUCUUUUAAAGUUCCUUCCUCGAGGCUAAGGGCCCCGAUCUCAGAAGGUUUGAUAGCCCAGGGAGAUUUCCUAGUUCGAGUCACUAAUGUUGAACCCUCCAUCUCGUCACCAUCAUCGUCCAUGAAGUGGUGGACUGAGUCAAUAUCCACAUUGAUGAUGGCACUUUUCUUGCGGCUCCGAGCGGUCUUUGCUUGGAUUUGAGUGUCCUCGAUCUUCGAGGACCCUUUUCUCUUAUUAUCCUUCUUUGGCUUUGGAGCCGAAGAUCCUACUUCCUCCUCGGAAGACGACAUCAUCUCGAAGAACUCACCAAUACCUGCUAUGGAGGAAUUAGGUCGCAUGAAGAAAGACAUUCUUAAUAAGGAAAGAAACAUUAUAACGUGUACCGUCGUGUUUCGCCUCCCACUUGCCCUUCGAUAAGUCCUACCACUUGUGUUUAUCGUAUGAUGAAGUAGCAGCUAGUUUGCGAACCCAGUCCUCGAGGUUGAGGACCGCAUUAGGCAUCCCCGGGACCGCUGCGAAAAAGGGAAAGGAAUAAAUAUACGAAGUUUAGCAAAGUUUAUGGAAAAGAACUAAAGCAAAAAUUCCACUCACGUUCGAAGGUCCAUUUCUCGGGGAAUGGUAGGAACUCCUUAGGAAUAACAUCGAUGGUCCUUACCCGGAUGAACCGGCUCAUCCAACCUCGAUCAUUGUCUUCGUCAUUAUUGGCGAAGAAGGACUUGGUUGAUCGGCGUUGGAGUUUGAUUAAACCUCGGAAAUGUUGAGGUCAAUAUAAUCGGAUGAGGUGGCUGAGGGUGAACUCGAGCCCGGCCUUUUCAAUGAAGAACCUCAUUAUCAUUACGGUCCGCCAAAAGGACGGAUGAAUCUUGCCCAAGGUGACUUGAUAUCUUUGGCAGAAUUCAAGCACGGGCGGAUCGAGAUGACCCAACGUAAAGGGGUAUGUAUACACACUCAUGAACCCCUCUACGUAAGUUGUGAUGUCCUCCUCACGAGAAGGUAUUUGCAGAACGACCUUCUCUUCCCAUUUAUAUUCUUUCCUCACAUCAUCGAGGUGUUCUUUCUCAAUUGACCUUAUGUACCUCGAUACAUGCUCUCGACGGCCGAGGACGUUAGGAGGGUUCUCAACUAUAAAGUCCUUUUUAAGCAAAAAUUGCUUGGUACGAUCUCGUAAAGCGCCAACGGUUUACCACCGACUAGAUGGGAAGUAGAGGUUCCUUCUUUCUGAGGAACGGACUUGGAAGUUUUUGCCAUCGACUCUUUAGAAAAAGAAGGAAGAAAUGAAUAAACCGGCAAGGUUUUGAGCUAAUACGGCGGAGAAAUUUGUGGUGAAAAGAAAAUGUAUAGAGGAAAAUAGGUGUUUCAUGGUGGAAAAGUUCUUAAUGAGAAGGGAAAACAAGUAUAUAUAUAGAGGAAGGUGGUGACGGUUUGUUAAUAUUGAUGGUCGACCGGCUCUAACGUACAUUUAAUGCUUUUUAGGGAAGAUUACCGAUGGGACGCUUCGGUCAUUUCAACGUUUAAAUCAUAAGAGUGAUGCCAUCAUGAAGGACUUCAGAAAUUCAAAUCGUUUCACAUCAUUUCAUUCUAAGAAAUUCGGGGACUAUCUGUAUACGGUCUAAAUCGGAGAGCUUGAUUUCGAAGACUUGAUCAUACCCCGAGCUCGAGUUCGGAAGCUCGAAGUGCCAAUCAGAGACCUGUCGUGAUCUGCCUCGAGGACAGUAUAAUUUCGAUAACACUCAAGAAAGAGCGAGAAUUCCUUAAAGUCAUAAAUAUCUAAGGAUAAGAUUUGUACAAGUUGGUACAGGUCCAUACUGGGUUGUUAUACAGUUGUACCAAUAAAAUUCUUUACCACAAUUAGGAAUGUACUAUAUUGGAAGGCCGAGACUUUGCCCCGGCCUCGUAUUCAUGCGUUGGUAACCCUCUCCCUCAUUUAACCUAUUCCAAAUAAAGCAUGUGUUCAUAAGUGCAGGUGGUUCGACCAACUAUACCGCCGGCGUCAGGCCAAAGCCAAUAGGGCAGUUCGGACUAACGAACCAAUUCAUUCCCACACCUCAAAUAUUCGGUGGAUUCCAAACACCAAUCGCCACAACAAUCAGGAAGGUCGCUCGCUCUAUACAGUUCGCUUAAGCUUGGACUGGAACACCGAGCCCGCAAAGCCCAGACGUUUUAUUUGGAUGACAAUGGGAACACCGUCCAGAGGCGAUUUCGAACCCACUCCGCCAAAGGGAUGAAACUCCCCGACAAAGGUGGGACUAAGGCAUUCGACAAAAAGCUACACACGAUGAGAGGAAAUCCCUCACCAUAUGACCCGUCGCCGGCAUCAAUGCCUUCGCCCUCAAAGGGAUCAAGGGGUAAGCAGAACUGCAUUUUCGGCCAAGCCCGGUUGAAUGUGGCGGAAGGCUAUAUUAGGCCUCGCACCUCGAAAUGGCAGAAACAUACCAGACCUCGAAAACGUCGCCUACAUGCCCCGUAGCAGGGAAGAACUACUUUGCCCCUUUGUUGUUUCUUUACUUUUAUUAACCUACAUGUAGGUAGUCAGCCAAAGCAUUCAGAAAUUCUAAACUCCACUCGGAGAUUCGAGGCCUCUGCAGAACCCGCCGAGUUCUUUUUCCUCGACCGGGUUUCCAACUUAAAGGUCCCUCCAGCAAGAUUAUUAGCGGAGCAAUGUAACCCCAAGAAAGAUAUCUGACAAGAUGGCAGUCCUUUCUUCUAUAGUCGGACGACGUGCGAUGACCUCCUCUUAAGGGCAACAUCCCCUCGGAAGGGCCAAUAAAUGGCAGGCCAAGUUCCAAAAUGGAAUCAUGAAAAUGGAUCAGAUAAUCAGAGGAGUCUCACCCAUGCGGGCCGAGCUCACAGCAACGGGACAAUAUGUAUUUACAGCAUAUAUUUACGCCAAGCAAUAAAUAAUACCUUUUCGGCAUUUCGUAUUUCGGGAAAGGAGAUUUCGACAUACUCGUGGCAAAUUCUUCUCCAUCAAAUGAGUCCUGAUAUACUCAGAGACUUAGCAUUAACGAUUCGACAACUUGCAUGACCCCAGGGUCGGAACUCCGGGCUCAUCAAGCCCCUGGAAGGCAACUCCGAGCUCACAAGAAGCUAUCUUCAAGCUUAAACAAACUCGAUGACUCGGAGACUGUUGUUAAUCGCCAUAAAACUGGAAAACUCGAAACUGUAAGACCCCUAGCGGGCAGCCUCGGCGUAACCAGAUCCAUUCUACAAACUGUAAGACUUCAAUAGGCAUGGCAAACUGUAAGACCUCAAUAGGCAUGACAUACUGUAAGACCUCAACAGGCAUGAAAAUCCCGAAGUUUAGGCUAUACGUCGCAUUUGUAAGAAUCCCUAAAAGGCAUACCCUCAAUGUAGAUGCCUAAACUAUCACUAGGGAUCAAAAAUGGCUAUGGCCAAACGCAUAUGACUACGGUUAAAAUGGCCGAUACAACCAAAAUAAUGCGACUCGGGGAUGCCCGACUGUCUCUAAAAAUCGUAGGCCCCUGCUACACCGAAUAUACUUUGGAAAGAACCGGUUAAAACAGGCUUCCCUCAAUAGGCAAAAAUGAGCUCCGACAAUGUCGUCUCCAAAAAUGCAAGAGCUUCGAUCUACUUGACCUACGAUCUAUGAACCUUACGAGGUGCUCGAAACAUCGCCGACAACGACUUGAAAUCAAGGUUCCUAUGGAACCAAUGACGGGUCAGGCAAAAAUACUAUAAAAACACCUUAACGAGCGGAAACAAAGCCUACAAAAAGCUCACGGGCAAAAACGGUGUAAGAGCCAUUGUCGCCAGCUAAAUAAGCCUAUUGGCCUCAUAUUGAAAGGUCUCUACGACCAAACAGUGUAAGAGCCAUUGUCGCCAGCUAAAAAUCUUGGCAACUUGAGGAUUAAAAUGAGCUCGAAUCGUAACCCGAUUCAGAGACCGGAUCCAAAAAUAGUUAAUUAUGCAAAGCCUCCAGGCCACAUAUCAUCUCAACGACUAAGCGGCAUAAAUGCCACUAUCGCCGACCAGAGAAUCAUGGAAAUUUAAGGGUCGAUUACAGCUCGAGUCGCAAUGCGACUCAAAUACUGGCCCCAAAAGCUGUAAUAUGCCUAAGGGUACGGCAUAAAUGCCACUAUCACCGACAAGAGAAUCAUGGAAAUUUAUGGGUCGAUUAUAGCUCGAAUAGCAAAGCGACUCGGAGACUGGCCCCAAAAGUUGCAAUUGCCUAAGGGCACGGCAUAAAUGCCACUAUUGUCGGUCGGAGAAUCAUGAAAAUUUAUUUGUCCAUUACAGCUCGAAUCGCAACGCGACUUAGAGACUGGACCCAAAAGUUGCCAUAUGCCCAAGGGCGCGGCAUUAAUGUCACUGUCUCUAGCCGAGUAAACCUCCAGACCAAGCGCCCAUAAGGUCACUUCGACCCAAAGCACAAAAGCCAUCAUCAUCUUCCCACGCAGGCAGGAAAGAUCCUGAGGGCCAAUUGAAGCACGAGUCACAAUGUGACUCGGAGACUAAGCCUAAACGGCCAAGCCAGGCAUAGAGGCCCCAGCACCUGCUCGCAUCAAGGAUCGCACUUGAGAGCCCCCGGGUCUGUCCGAUCCAUCCCGGAUCUAUGAGGACCUCACCAAACACCAAAACUGGCAUGAUUGGUCGAACGCAACAACAAAGAAAAAAAAGAGAAAAAAGAUGUAUAGAAGAAAUAAAGCUUCAAAUUCUUUCUUAUAUAUUACACGAGCGAAAAGGGCGCAUUCUCUAUCUACAGGCAUGUCCUAUGUAUAUCAGAGACAAAGCGACAAAAUGGCAUAAUCUACACUCUGCGCUAAAGGGAUACAGCUCAUCAAAUUCGCCCUCCGCAAUAUCAACAAGAAGUGACCAAGUGGCACGCUCAUUCGCCCUUGCUCGAGCCAAUUCCUCUAAGAGAACGAAGCCCCUUGCACUGACCUCCUCGAGUACCUUUCUCUGGGAUCUACAACGAACAUAUUCCUCGAUCCUCUUCUCCCGGUAGAGGGCUCGCUUCAGUUCAACUUGGGCAUCAGCAGCAUCUUUCACACGAAUCGCCAACUCACGAUCAGCCUUGGUUCGGCUUAAUGCCAUUUCUGCCCAGGCAUCAAUUAUCUCGGCUCUGACCUUCGAGAGAUCAGAUUCAAAUUUCCCAAUCAUAUUCGCUUUCACUUUGGCAUUGUCAUGAGUCAAGCUGAGUUGGGUCUCGAAGGCAGGGACCUUAACCGAGAUGCUCAUCUCCUCUAAAGCUCGAGCCUGCACCUGAGCCCUUAGCUCCUCGCAAGCAACUCUGACACGAUUGACGUAGCCCUUGAGGUACUCCAAGGCCUCCGACUUUUUCUGCAACUAAUAUGGCAAAAAGGAAUUAGCCUUAAGGUUAGAAAGGAGCGAAGCACGCACUACAGGAAGUUACCUGCUCCAUCAAAUACCUCUCAUAGUUUGAGCUCUGGUACGCCUCAUAUCGCCAAUGCUGUAGCUCAGCUUCCUUCUCCUCGCUAAGGAGCCUAAGAGAUUUGCCCUAACCCAGGAUUUUCUAAAGCUUGGCCCCUUGACGGAACAGCUCAAACCUAAGCCCAUCACAGGCCUGCACGAGGAAGAUUUAAUAGAGGGAGAAGGACACGGGAUACAGGGAAACUAUACAUAAAACUCACCAUAAAGUGAAGUCGACGAACUUCCUCGAAGUCGGAACACACUCCUAUUGAUCCUGCCCCUAAAGACCCAUAAGAGCUGACCCCAGGCACAACAUAUUCGCUCAAAGGAAUCGCCGACCGGGAAUCAAGCACUUCGGGAGCAUCAGACUCGGACAACGCCCUUUCCUCAGAAAUGUGAGCCCGACCAGUGCCACUUAAGGCUCCGUCACACCGUAGGUGUUGAUCUUUCCUGUCGCCAUCGCCCAUCGGCCCGAAAGCCAAUGACUCCUUCCCCUCUUCAGAGGAACAUUGCCCCGUCUUAGGGAACCGCCCGAUAUCUGUAAACGGCACAAAUAGAAGGGGAAAGGGUUACCUCAGGUAUACAAAGGCAAGGCAAAGGCAGCAAACGUGCAUACCUUGGUAUUGCGCUCCCCAUCCAGUAUGAAGUACAGCUCGCCAUCGGCGCUCGUCGCAGGAUGAAUGGGUCACCAGCCUCCGAACCCAGUCGGGUGGGUCAUGGACCUCACCCGGCAUCCACGAAGUUGCUGCAAUAAGGGAAACAACAUUAUUACUCGGCUGAUUUUCGCUAUAUGCGAAAUCUAAAAAAGCGCCAAAUGCCUCACUCAUGAGCAUAAUUCCACCCUUCGGGAAAUGGCAAAAACUCCACAGGGAUAAUAUCGGUCGUCCGGACCCGUAUAAACCAACUGGCCCACUCUCGAUCCCCAUUGUCCUCAUCGUCAACAACGAAGGGCGUGGAUGAACGACACCUCAGAGUUAGCAGGUCUCGAUGAUGAAAGGGCCGAUACAGCCUGACAAGGUGGUCAAACAUGAAUUCAAGCCCGGCCUUCUCCGCGAAGAAUCUCAUCAUCAGUGUCAUUCGCCAAAACAAUGAAUGAAUCUGUGCCAGGGUAACCCGAUACUUCAAGCAAAAAUCAAGCACAACCCUAUCAAAGAGGGGAAAUGCAAAAGGGUAUAGGUACACGCUCAAGAACCCAUCAGUGGAGUCUGCGAUGCCCUCAUCUGGAGAAAGCGCCUGCAGUGUUACCCUCUCGCCCUAGCCGCAGUACCUCCUCUCCAUCUCCAGGUGUUUCUCUCUUAUCAAGGAUACCGUCUCCAGAACAAAAUCCCUCGAUUCUUGACCACCAGGAGCAGCGCCCCCCCCCCCCCCCCUCCCGAAUCAGCCCCGAAGUGGUUCCUAUGACUAUGUCAAAACUAACAGGUCAAGGCAAGGGUGCGCACCAACACUUUUUGUGCCUAAAGAGAUAAAGUAUCCCACGCCAAAGCGAAAAGGCAGAUAUCUAAAAAUAGUGAAGUCUUGCCAAUGAGCUAAAGCCGCCCCACAUAUAUGUGAGAAGCAGCGAUGAUUCACCUGCCUGAGACAAGCUCCGGAAAUCCAACAGCCUCGAUACAGAUCGACGGGUUGAUACCCGAUCCAGAAAGCAUCCUUUAACGAGGAGUCAAGACUCAAAGGGUCAUUUGUAUUAUCUCCAUGCUCGGAGCAGCACUCUACGUCAAGAACCCCCGGCCCAAAGAAGUCAGGCCUCGGUGAGCUUUAAACGCCGACAAUCGAUGCUAGGCAAGCACCUAGUCUCUUGAUCCCCUCUUCCUGAAAAGAGGAAUAAAAACAGGAAGCUCCGAUUGUGAAACCUCCACGAAGGUCCGAGGAAGCGCCCAAAUACGAGCAAACUCUCUAGUGGAAGUCAAUCCUAUCCAUUCUAAAAAAGGUUAUCUGCAUCAAGAUCAAUAGGGACCCCCAGGUACCCGAAGAUGACCUUCAUCUAGGGUAGCAUUCCCGAAGGCCCGGGAAUCCGACGCAUGACCUCCAAACAACUCGGAGGGCCUCGGUAGCCCGGAUCUAUCAGAAUCAAUCCAAGAUUGGUUCGAAGUACGACGAUGGGUCGGAGGAAAGCCAUGUCGAUCAGCAUAAAAAUCAGAAUGAGCGCUCGCGCUCAAGUCAGAUAUCAGUUGUCAACAAAUAAAAGAAGGCAUUCGAAGAGCCUCGAAGGGCAUGAGAGCAUACAGAAACAAAGAAAAGUAUGGAAAGCAGAAAUUAGCGAAGUAUAUUCUUAUUCAUAAAAAGAAUUUGCGUACAAGUAUCCCUCAAGGGGUCGUUACAUACAAUUACAAAAGCCUACAGGAGUCCACGCCUAGAAGAAGAGGCAAAGGGAUGCACACGCUAGAUAAAAGCCAAAAGACCAACCUACCUUUGAAAGUCCACAACAGGCGCCUCCGGACACUCAUCCUCGGAAGUUUCAUCCCAACUUUCCACACUAAUAUCCCCAAGGUACAAGGCGAGUGGCAGGGAAGGAUGAAAAAUGCCAUAGCUGUCCAAGGCUCGAGGACCUUCUUUGGCCAAGGAAGCCUCGGAGAAAUAGUGGACCAAACAAUCCUCGGUCCCGCUUGCAUGGCUACUUUGAAUCCACUUCUUAGGACGUCCAGCCGUGCAAGCCCCCAACUCGGAUCAGAGUUCCACGUCGAGCCGAGUAUGAAGGUGCGCAGUGGUGUAUAAACCGAGCCCCCUUUUGAGCAGCGGUGCAUAAUCCGAACAGCUGUCUACAUAAAAAGGAAAUCAACUCCUCAUCCUUCAUCACCUCGGGCCAACAGUAGCAACAAGGGCCAGCAUACCGAUGACCACAGCAAUAGAGGGAUAGCACACUUAUGUUCGAUGAAGGGAGACCCCAGCAGAAAGCCACGAUGCAGUCUAAGGGAAUUCCUCCAAACGGACUUAAGGUCAUAAGCCCGUAACAUGAUGUUCAAGGGUGAAAGAAAAUAAUAGGAAGGAAGAUGCAAGCAAGCCAACGGAAGCAUUGAGAUAGGAAAAACAAAGCCAAGGCACCCCCAAUUUAUAGGGGAUUACGACACGCUCAUCUAGGGUUUGGAAGACUGAACGACGGGCGUGGUUAAUGCAUCUAUGAAAAACUGAACCGACGGCGGUACUUGUACCUUAGGAUGCAAAAAUCAGGAAGUGCAAUGAAUGAGGUCGAAAAGCAUGAGCCAGGGGGUCGCAUCAUCGAUAUGGCGUCGCUAAAAGAAGCUCGAGGAGUCAAGUGUCAGAAUCAUUUCCCAUCACUUCGAUAUGGGAAAUGCGAAGACUAUCUGUAUGCGACGAAAUCAAAAGACUUGAUUUCUCGCUGUCGAGACAUUUUGGAAGCAUGCCCCGGGGCCCCGAGGGUAGGAGGUAGCGUCCGAAUUCCCUACCUCAGGACUCGUCGAAGCCCGACUCAGAGAAAAUGAAGAACAAAGCCAGGACAGAGGGGGAAGCCCUCUAGGCACAUGGCUACGUCUGAUAGGCCCGACCUAUCCAGAGCCUAUGAUGAAGAAUCAUGUCAAGCCAUCCCAUCACCGUACUUUGUAAUCAUCCCCACAUACUUGUAGCCGAGUCUUCCCUCCUAUAUAAAGGGGACUUGCCCCACCUUGUAAGGGACGGAUAUCGCUCCAUUUCUCCACAAGUGCAAUAAUAUCUUCUCUCUCUCUCUUCUCCAAAUUGCUUAUUCCCCUUGGCUCAAAGUCAUUUAUCUUUGGUCAUUCUUCCUAUCACUUGGCAUUGGCCCGAGGCUGCCCCCGUAUUCAUUGCCUCUUAACUUGUUCUUCAUUUUAUAGCUUAAUAUUGGCCGAAUGAGCCCUAUCUUAUUAUACCUUUAACUAUUAUCCCAUUUCCGGCUAUCCCCGAUAGUUUGAGAUCGAUACCAACGCUGGUCUCGAGGUCCCAUUGACCAUCUCUACAUUCGGGAAACAAGCCCCUUUUGUUUGAUUACUGCCUCGUCUUAGCUCGCAUUUUAUCAUUAUACUUCACGUUCAUAGCAUUAACUGCUUUAACAACUAGCUCGGGAAUAGAUCACGUAUUUUUAGAAUCCCAUUUAUAAAUUUAAUUGUUGUUACCAUUUUCACGGUAAAUAAAUUUUCAACUUAAAAUGUAAACUAGCAAGGUCCAAGUAAUCAUUGGAAGACAAAAUGACAAAAUGGGCUACCCAGCCUAACUAUUUUCAUAAAAUAAAAGGAAAAGAAAUAGGAUCUCAAAACUGAUUGGCCCAAACAUUUAUGGCCCAAUAUUCAAAGAGUUUGCUGCCCCUUUUAAAGGAACCCCAAGUAAGUAAACCAACUAAGUUUAUUAGACUUAUUUUACUUAGCCUAAUUUAAUCCCUCUAAAUAUAAAGGUAUACAUGAUGUGGUAGCUUCUCUCAUAUAUUUUAUUCUCACUCACAUUUUAUUAGUUAUAAUGUUCUAUCAAGUCCUCAUCAUAUAAAUUCGACAACUAUCUCUUCUUUAAUUUCUCUAACCAACUUAUGACAUACGAGCUUCUUUAAUGAUUUGGGUUUCAACUUUCUGUUACACUAAUAAUUAGAACAAUAGACUAUUAUCCCCAUCUUUUAGAUGGAGUUUAAGGAACUAUCUUUAAAUAGAUUUUAUGGAAUGCCUCACACCUUCCACUUAGAUUAACUUGAACCCUUACCUAGAAUUUCACCGGUUUAGUAGACUAUUAAGAAUUAAUAUCCGACUUAUUGUACCCUAAUAUACCUUAAAUAUUAGGUGGCAACUCCUUAUCUUCAUGAACCUCGAAAUUACCAUUAUGUUGAAUACUGUCUUACCUAGUGUAAAAUAGGGCGUCAAUGGAUCUUCAUGCAGUUUGUGAGUCAUUAACUCUGGUGGAACAUUUGUCAUAUUUGAAUGCGACCGAGAAAAUCAAUUAGAGUUAGCUCGCACAAAACUCAAUUAACUUACGUUGUAGCUCCGAGCUUAGGUUUGUCCAAAUAUAAAAUUUUCUCUCGGGCUAGUGGAUAACUAAAAUAACAGCCUCGAGCUCCUCCGAUGAUGUUUUGAUAGUAACAUUCUCUUCUGAUUUCUGAAUCACAUCAGAUUUUGCAUCGUUGUCAGCUUCAUUUCUCGUAUCUGAUGUUGCGGUUACUGAGAGUUUGAUGUGCUCCUUUGCUUGGCACAAUAAUUGCUAUUUCUCUUCUCCAUCCCUGGUUGCACCACUUGCUACGACCACAAUAUUUGUUUCUCAUACUGCUUGAUGAUCUCCCUUGAUCUGAUGAAUUCCCCAUUGUGAUGGAAAUUUAAUAACUUAUUCAAAAGUCGAUGGUACUGCAUCCAUUUCAUGAAUCCAUGAUCUUCCUAAAAUUAUGUUAUAAGCUAUAUCAACUUUUACCACUUGAAAUUUGGUGUCUUUCACCACCCUUCUGCAAAAGUUGACAUCGUAACUUCUCCCUUUGUUUAUUACACUUGAAUUGUUGAACCCAGACAGAGAUCGAACCUUGGAAAUUAUGCAAUCUAUUGGUUGUAUUUCACUAACUACUCGUAGUAGUAUAAUAUAUAUUGAGCUGCCUAGAUCAAUCAAAACUCACUUCACGUUAGUAUCAUGAAAAAUUAGAGAAAUUACCAAUGCAUUAUUGUGGGGUAUGAACAAACCAUCUGCAUUUUCAUCAACAAAUGUUAUGCUCUCCACCUCUAAGCCCUAGCGAAUGCUUUUUCUAUAGGUCACGGAUAUUUUGGUUGUUCUCUUCGCCUCCGUGUAUGUUACUCCAUCGACCUCUCCUCCUCCGAUUAUGACGUUCACAGUCCUUUUAGGUGGCAAAGGCUUCAGUGGUUCUUCUCUAUUCUCCAUGUAAGCCUGUUUACACUUUUCACAAAAUAAUUCAAUAAGGUAACCUUUGUUCAAUAAGUAGUCUACAUCUCCUUCUACAUUUCCUUGUAAGAGCCUGCAAUUCGUUGUUCGGUGUCCCUGAUCAUUGUGAAAUUCACACCAAAAUUCCUGACUUUUUUGCUUGGGUCUGACCUCAUUUCUCUUGGUCAUAGUACCUUAUCUCUCAUACCUCUAAAUACUGCUACUAAUUCUAAAGUACUUACAUUAAAAUUGUAAUCUACUAAUUUUGGUCUGGUACUCUAGUCGUCGUACUUCACCAUUUCUCGUUCCUUUUCAAAUUGAGAAGAAGAAUCUGCCUCCUCCUGCCUUGACCUUUAAUCAGAUUAUACAUGUUCUGGCUUUUGCAUGCGAUCUUGCUUCGCUGAUCCCACAUAAGGCUUGUACUUAUUUUUUUCAUUUCUUUAUUUUGACUUUGAUCUUCUAGGACCGAACCUGUCUUCCACCUUUGGCUGACACACGAUGUCUUCCUUUAUUCGAAGCUUCGUACUGUACCUAUUAUAAACAUCAUUCCAAGUAGUCAAUUGGAAUUCUCAUUAACUUUCCUUUAACCUUCUCAUAGCUUUCGUACUUCUCUCAUUCAAGUUCCUUGCAAAAGUUAUUGCUUCCCAAAUAUCAGGUCCAUGAGGUAGCAGCAUCCUUUUUCGUUGGAACCGAUCUACAAACUCCCUAAGUAAUUUUAUACUUCCUUGUUGCAUUUUCUAUGUCCUCCAUUCAUUUCUUCACAUUUUGGGCUCCCAAAUGUGCUUUAAUAAAUGAAUUUGCAAGCUCAGCAAAUGAAUCAAUAAAAUUUUUAGGUAAAAGUGAACACCAUGUUAGUGCUAUUUUUUAAGGGUUUCACCGAACUUCUUCACAAGUACCUCCUGCUUAAUUAAAUCAUUUCCUUUAACUCCGGUGCAAAAUGCAGUUACGUGAUCGAGAGGAUCAGAAGUUCUAUCAUACUUAGGAAUAUCUGGCAUCUUGAUUUUUUUAGUAUUGGUAACAGUGUUGCACUAGAUUUCCAUGACUAUUACAAAUACUUAUCCAUAUCCACACCUUUAAUUACUAGUGGUACACUCGGAGUUUGUUCUAUUUGUUCAUUUUGUUCCUUGAGUCGCUUCUGCAAGGUUUGAACCAAAUUUUGCAAAUCAGAAUUAUUUGGCAUACUUAACCCUCCUGCUCAGAAGUUUUUUGGCCUUUCUCUACUGCCUAAAUUAUCAUGUCCUGAAUUAGGAUGUUCUGUGGUAGUACUCACUAUUGGUGGUACUAGGACUAUUGUCACGAUCCAAAAAUCCCUCCGAAGGAGUCGUGAUGGCACCUAGUCUCUAAACUAGGUAAGCCUAACAAUAACUGAAAUAACAUUGAUAUUUGCCAACUUUAAAUUCAAUAACUCUUAACAAUUUACAAUUCCCGAAACCGGUGGUACAAGUCACAAGUCUUUCUAAGAGUAGUUAUACAAAAUAAAUACAUCACUGCUCCGAAACAAAAAAGGAACAAAUGGAAAUAAGUACAAAUGAAGGUGACUCCGAGGCCUACGAAUGUUGUAGCAGGUUUACCUUGAGUCUCCACCACAACGACUCGCACAGCUACUACCGAUCAAAUACUUGGAUCUAUACACAAAAAUGUACAGAAGUGUAGUAUGAGCACACCACGGCCGUGCCCAGUAAGUAUCAAGACUAACCUCGGUGGGGUAGUGACGAGGAACAAUUCAGACACCUAUUGGUCAAAUAAAUUGAACAGUAUUUGACAAUAAACUAUCAACCUAGAAAUGACACUGUAAUAUCAACAGCAGGAAAAGAACAAACUACAAUCCGUAGAAACAAUAAAGAGAAACACGGGUGGAAAUGAAGAUAACCAAAUAAUUUAACACCAACAUAGCUGGGACACAGAUAAGUAAAAAUGUACUCAAACAAGGAAGGCGAUGUCAGCUGAGUAAAUCAUAUCGUUUUUGAUGCACAAUUCUCAGCCAUCUCAAACUCAAUGUCUCAUAUCAUAACCUCAAUCACCAAACUUUUAGCACACCCGGCACCUUGUUCCCACAUAUUUCUAUCUCUCUUUACACAAUAACGUUCUCAUGUUACUCAGUAUAUAGGGUCCAUAAUCAAUAUAGUUAAGAUGUUCAAGGGGUCUCGUUUACAUAACAUAAAGUAAGGAACCAUUUUCAAUUGAAAUACAACAUCGGAUGAUUUUCACCCUUAACAAGGGAUUUAAUAAAUUAACUUAGUAAAAUUUCCUUUUCGAGUAAAAUACAACCUCAAACGGUUUAAGGAAAAUUUAAUUGAGAAAUAAAUUGAGUUAAAAUGUAAAAAUUGUUGAAAUUUGAAUUAUUGAAAUACAUAUAAAAAUAAGGCGAGGUAUUGUAAACACUAUGGAUUCCAAUACAAAGGAUCACGGCAAUAAAGGAAUCUAAACUGUUAAAACACUUGAAUUGAUAAUAACAAUUACAACGGAGACAAAAUGAUCACAGAAGGAGUACAACUCAACGCAGAGACAACAACCGGGGAUCUCCCAGGAUACCGUCCUAUAGUCCCAAAUGUAAAUACUCGGGGAUCUCUCAGUAUCCUCCGUAUAUGAGCUAGGGAUCUCUUGGUAUCCCAAGGAUCUCUUGGUAUCCUCAAUAUAUGUGUUGGGGAUCUCUUGGUAUCCCGAGGAUCUCUUGGUAUCAUCAAUAUAAAUGUUGGGGAUCUCUUGGUAUCCUCAAUAUAAAUGCUAGGGAUCUCUUGGUAUCCUGAGGAUCUCUUGGUAUCCUCAAUAUAAAUGUCAGGGAUCUCUUGGUAUCCGGAGGGUCUCUUGGUAUCCUCAAUAUAAAUGCUAGGGAUCUCUUGGUAUCCUCAGGAUCUCUUGGUAUCCUCAAUAUAAAUGUCAGGGAUCUCUUGGUAUCUCGAGGAUCUCUUGGUAUCCCGAGGAUCUCUUGGUAUCCUCAAUAUAAAUGACAGGGAUCUUAUGGUAUCCUGAGGAUCUCUUAGUAUCCUCAAUUUAUAUGCUGGGGAUCUCUUGGUAUCCCGAGGAUCUCUUAGUAUCUUCAAUAUAUGUGCUGGGGAUCUCUUGGUAUCCCGAGUAUCUCUUCGUAUCCUCAAUUUAAGUGCAGGGGGAUCUCCCGGGAUAUCGUCCCAAAGUAAACACACAAUGGCAACACGAAGAAUACUCAAAAACAAUCCAACAAUCCAAUCACAAGGAAUUUCAAAAUAGCCUUCUUGCUUGAAUUGACCUCCGAGAGGCUCAAAUCUAUCCAAAUUAAUUGUAUAACUUUAUUUAAAAAAUAUCGGAAAUAAUUCCGGAUAAUAAAACAUCGACUUAAAAAUUCACAUUAAAAAGUCAACCAAAAGUCAACGCGAGACCCGCCUCAUGGAACCCGACUUGAUUUUCAUGAAAUCCAAACAUCCAUUCCAAUACGAGUUCAACCAUACCAAUUUUAUCAAAUUCCGACAUCGGAUUGUUCUUCGGAUCUCAAAAAUUAAUUUUAGAAGUUUCUAUAAUUUUUCUCCAAAUUUCACCCCAAAUCACAAAUCAAAUGAUGAAUUCAAUGAUAGAUUCAUGUAUUCUAGCCAAAUCCGAGUUAGAAUCACUUACCCCGAUGAAUUUCUUGAAAAACUUUCGAAACAUCGCCAAAAUCCGAGCUCUCUAGGUCAAAAUAUGAAAUAAAACCCUAAAACUCGUAUUUAUAGUUCACCUCCCGGAUUCCCCCAAUGCUAACCGCACAAAAUCGACCGCUGACCGCACAAAAUCGAAUGAUGUCCGCGGUGGAUUUGACUGCAGUGAUAGUCUUUGGUAUAUUGGCCAUAACUUUCGCUACAGAUAUCCAAAUGUCUAUGAUAAUAUGUUUCUGAAAACUAAAUUCAAAGAUCUACAACUUUUGUUUUUGAAUCAUCCGCAAAUUCCUUGUAAGAUCAAAAGAUAUGAGCUUCCGAAGUCAGACCAGCGAUCCUGCGGACCAUUUUUGGUGUGCGGCCGCACACCAUUUUGGUGUGGUCCGCACUCCCAAAAGUGCCAGAACCAUUUCAGAAUUCCGAAAUGUCUGGACUUACUCAAAAUUCACUCCGAAACUCAUCCGAGGCCCUCGGGACCUCAACCAAAUGUACCAACACAUCCCAUAACAUCAUAAAAAUUUAAUCAAACCUUUGAAUUACUCAAAACAAUACCAAAACACCAAAUCCACCUCGGGUUCAAACCUAAGGACUUAGGAACUUUCAAAUUCCACAAACAACACCGAAAUCUAUAAAAUCAAGUCUGAUUGACCCCUAAUUUUUCACACAAGUCAUAAAUAACUUAAUAGAGCUAUUCCAACUUCUUGAGUCAGAUUUUGAUCUCGAUAUCAAAAAGUCAACCCCUCGGUCAAACUUCCCAACUGCAACUUCUCGUUUUCGCCAUUUCAAGCCUAAUUAAAUUACAACCUUCCAAAUAAUUUUCUAGUCACGCUCCUAAAUCCAAAAUCACCAUACGGAGCUAUUGAAAUCGUCAAAAAUCCAUUCCGGAUUUGUUUACUCACAUUUCACCUUCCGGUCAAUAUAAUUCAACUUAAGCUCUCUUCUUGGAGACUAAAGGGUCAUUUGGUAGGGUGUAUAAGAAUAGUGCGGAAUAAGGUGUAUUAGUAAUGCAUGGAUUAGUAAUGUAUGGGUUAGUAAUGCAAGCAUUAGUUAUGAAAAUAUUAUUUUUUAUCUAUUGUUUGGUGUGGUGUAUUAAAAUUAUAAUGCAUUCCAUAAUUUUUAAGAAAAAUAGUUGCUUACAAAAAUGCCCUCCAUAUUCUCUAGCUUUAAGGGACUUUAAGGAUAAUUUUGUCUUUAACCAUGCUAAUGCAUGCAUUAAAGCCUUGGUAUUACUAAUGCCAUGGUUUUCUAUGCAUUACUUAUGCAUAGGAUAAUGCCAAGUAUGAUGUAUAACUAAUACAAGCAUUAGUUAUGCACAAGUUGAAAAAAUGUACCAAACAAGGUAUUAGUAAUGCAUAGAACUAAUGCUUGCAUUAAUUUUUCUAAUACCUCCUACCAAACGACCCCUAAGUGUCUCAAUUCCUUUCAAAACCUUUCCGAACCCGAACCAAUUUUCCCGGCAAGUUACAUAAGAACAAUAAAGCAUGAAUUUAGUAGUAUAUAGGGAAAUGAGGUUGUACUUAUUUAAAACGACCGGUCAGGUUGUUACAUUCUCCACCUCUUAAACAAACGUUCGUCCUCGAACGUACCAAGAUUAUUCUGAGGUUACCAAAUUGAUGUUUCUACUUUUACACACCUACUCGUGGUUGAUCCCACAUUACCACAUUCGAAAUAAGUUCGACAAUACUAUUUCAAUUGGGGCUAUUUCUCUUACCCAUAUUUGUAAACUUUAAGACCAAAUUUCUUACGCUCCGAACAUUUUCAAAAAGGUCCGAUUUUCACAUCAUCACACGAUCUUAGUCUCACCUGGCUAUAGAAACUCGUGCCUACGUACGCAUCAACUUCUUAAUAGCGCUUAACGGUUGUUACAUCCUCCCCCACUUAGGGUCAUUCACCCUCAAAUAAGAAGUAGAGACCGCUCUCAAACACAUAAUGUAACUUUUCUUUUUCUUCGCACAUCUCAAUGUCCCAAAUUUUUCUAACUCUCAAAUUUUUCAGAAAUUUCGGCAGAGUCUCCUCGGUAAUUGGGCCUAUCCACCUGUCAGAGUAACACCAAAACAACUCCUAACAACACAUCCACAACCCAACAAAGCAACGGAAUAUAUAUAUCAAUAACACUAAUCUCUGCAUUACAAUCACGAUAUUAUCAUAAUGAUAUCUCGACAUGAAACGCAUCAUAUGUAUGGCCAUAACCACUUCUCUAAUCUUAAUAGUUGUUUAUAAUCGAUUACAAAUCACCAAUUAAUCUCAUGCCAACGAAAAUCUCGUUUCAAACCUCCAUUUUCUAACAACGAGGCAUGAAGACUCAUAAUUAAUUACCCGAAUUAACGAGUCACAUUUAACACCACCUGGGCACUUAUCUUGUAGGCUAAAACUCAAUAAUUAUAGUACAAUUUGGCAAAUUAUGCACAGAGAUAUUCAUACAAGAACUUUCAAAUAAGCCUCAUAGGCAUGACUCCCUAUAAGUACUAUAGUACAAAUUUUUAAUUUCACAAGGGAGGAUUUAAACACAUAAAUUUUUCACCACAAGGACCUCGUCCUUAUAUAACAUCCACCGCAACUUGUAGCUGGUUUAAAUAUCUCACAUCAUAUAAAAAUACGAGGAUCUCGUCCUCAACUCCGUACCACAAAUAAUAUGCACAUUGUGCCAACUAAAAUUUUCCAUUUCCUUUCCUUUUCUUCUAAAUAAAUUCCGUCAAACAAAAUCACAACAUAUAAUGAACCCUCACACCGAUAGGGAAUAAAAUUCACAAUUUAAAUCAAUUUUCCUGAAAUCACAUCAAAACCCACAUCACAACUAUUUUUAGUGACUAACACAUAAUGAUAGACAUAACUAUCUCCAUAUAAUCUCCCAACAUGGGUAUUCACAUAAGUAAAUUUAAGAUUACGAAGCUUACUCAUGAGUAGAGAAUAUUAGGAGGACUUGCCUCGAUACUCAUAACCGAAUCAAGUUAAGAAAAUUGUUCCUUUAUGAUAACUCGAGUCCGUACUUGUAACGACUCCAUCUAGUGUAGCGACCUCAGCUAUACCAUAGCAAAUAUAUCAAUGGGUCGAGCCUCCACCUCUUAGGCGCCAUCUACCCGCUUGUCCUCCAUCCCUAACUCGUAGUGUAAGUAGGGUAGUAAUUGUAAUGGAGUACGUGGCAUGUAUACUCUAAUGGAAUAGAUUUCCCCCAAGUCUGGGACAAUUUUUCAUGAUAUUCCUAGUAUCACCAUAUUCAUAACAACUAAUCUGCGGUCCAGCUGCUCAUAAUGAAUAUAUGUCGGAUAACUAGGAUAACCAUUAUAGGAGUCCCAUACCAGUGGUGCAUUAGAAGAUGACCGCCCCAUGCGAGUGCCUUGAUUAACUGGAGCACUAUGAGUAUUUUAAAAUUGUUUCCAUGACCCUUCAAAUACUGAAAUGUAGAACUAUUAAGGACGCGGGAAUACCAAAAGUCCCAUCAUCAUCCCAUUCAAAUCUCAGCUCUUAAUCAUAUACAAGUUUCGACAAACCUUUCAAUACCACAUAUAUACCGUUCAAGCCAAAACUAAUAUACACAUGACCCCGCAAUCUGAUUGUUGGUAGUGAACUCCCCUCACUUGGCACAAAACCAUAGGUCACAACAUCCGAUAAUCCACAAUGUUAACCUUCACAACUCAUAUAAGUCAACCAGACGCCAGGGCCCAUUGCACCCCUAUAUGAUUCACUAGGUGAUCUCUCAGUACUUCCGCAUCUUCAAUCUUGGAAACACGUGGUAAUAAUGAUUGAGCAAUCCUGGCUCCCUUAUAACCCCUUUAUGGUACCACUGACCGUUGGCGCAUAUUAUUACCGAAUGCGCAAUUUCAUACACGAGUGGAUGUAAAACAACAUAAGUUAUAUGCUUCAAGUUGAAUAAAUGUCGCACGAUAAGGAAUUAAAGAAGUGAGGUCAUCCUAAUAGCUAUGUAGCCUCUCGAGGAUAAGUACAGACAUCUCCGUAUCGAUCCGCAAGACUCUACUAAACUCGCUUAUGACUUGUAGCACCUAUGAACCUAGAGCUCUUAUACCAACUUGUCACGACCCAAAAAUCCCUCCGAAGGAGUCGUGAUGGCACCUAGUCUCUAAACUAGGUAAGCCUAACAUUAACUGAAAUAACAUUGAUAUUUGCUAACUUUAAAUUCAAUAACUCUUAACAAUUUACAAUUCCCAAAACUGGUGGUACAAGUCACAAGCCUUUCUAAGAGUAGUUAUACAAAAUAAAUACAUCAUUGCUCCGAAACAAAAAGUAACAAAUGGAAAUAAGUACAAAUGAAGGUGACUCUGAGGCUCGUGAACGUUGUAGCAGGUUUACCUUGAGUUUCCACCACAACGACCCGCACAGCUACUACAGAUCAAAUACCUGGAUCUGCAUACAAAAAUGUACAAAAGUGUAGUAUGAGCACACUAUGGCGGUGCCCAGUAAGUAUCAAGACUAACCUCGGUGGGGUAGUGACGAGGAACAGUCCAGACACCUACUGAUCAAAUAAAUUGAACAGGAUUUGAUAAUAAACUAUCAACCUAGAAAUGAUACAGUAAUAUCAACAGUAGGGAAAGAACAAACUACAAUCCGUAGAAAUAAAAAAGAGAAACACGGGUGGAAACGAAGAUAACCAAAUAAUUUAACACCAACAUAGCUGGGACACAGAUAAGUAAAAAUGUACUCAAACAAGGAAGGAGAUGUCAGUUGAGUAAAUCAUAUCGUUUCUGAUGCACAAUUCCCAGCCAUCUCAAACUCGAUGUCUCAUAUCAUAACCUCAAUCACCAAACUUUUAGCACACCCGGCACCUUGUGCCCAUAUAUUUCUAUCUCUCUUUACACAAUAACGUUCUCAUGUUACUCAGUACAUAGGGUCCAUAAUCAAUGAAGUAAAGAUGUUCAAGGGGUCUCGUUUACAUAGCAUAAAGUAAGGUACCAUUUUCAAUUGAAAUACAACAUCGGAUGAUUUUUACCUUUAACAAAGGAUUUAAUAAAUUAACUUAGUAAAAAUUCUUUUUCAAGUAAAAUACAAUCUCAAACGGUUUAAGGAAAAGUUAAUUGAGAAAUCAAUUGUGUUAAAAUGUAAAAAUUGUUGAAAUUUGAAUUAUUGAAAUACAUAUAAAAAUAAGGCGAGGUAUUGUAAACACUAAGGAUUCCAACAUAAAGGAUCACAGUAGUAAAGGAAUCUAAACAGUUAAAACACUUGAAUUGAUAACAACAUAAUACAAUGGAGACAAAAUGAUCACAGAAGGAGUACAGCUCAACGCAGAGACAACAAUCGGGGAUCUCCCAGGAUACCGUCCUAUAGUCCCAAAUGUAAAUACUCAGGGAUCUCUCAGUAUCCUCCGUAUAUGAGCUACGGUUCUCUUGGUAUCCCGAGGAUCUCUUGGUAUCCUCAAUAUAUGUGUUGGGGAUCUCUUGGUAUCACGAGGAUCUCUUGGUAUCCUCAAUAUAAAUGUUGGGGAUCUCUUGGUAUCCCGAGGAUCUCUUGGUAUCUUCAAUAUAAAUGUCAGGGAUCUCUUGGUAUCCCGAGGAUCUCUUGGUAUCCUCAAUAUAAAUGUUAGGGAUCUCUUGGUAUCCUGAGGAUCUCUUGGUAUCAUCAAUAUAUAUGCUGGGGAUCUCUUGGUAUCCUCAGUAAAUAUGAUAGGGAUCUCUUAGUAUCCCGAGGAUCUCUUGGUAUCCUCAAUAUAAAUGUUGGGGAUCUCUUGGUAUCCCGAGGAUCUCUUGGUAUCCUCAAUAUAAGUGUAGGGGAUCUCCCGGGAUAUCGUCCCAAAGUAAACACACAGCAGUAAAACGAAGAAUACUCAAAAACUAUCCAACAACCCAAUCAUAAGGAAUUCCACCACCACGAGUAUGAAUGCACGGCAACAAGAGAAUCACAGGAAAACCAAGAAAUGCAAUAACCUUAACAAAACAAUAAGACAUAACAGGCAUGUGAUAACUACACCGACAACCAUAACAAUUUGGACACCUAGCAUAUAUACACGGGGUCAUGGAGGAAUUCACAAUUUAGAGAUAACAAAACAAUAAGAAGAACAAUCGCUUCAAUUAAGCAAAUAAGGCCAAGUAACAAGUAAGAGUUAGGGGGAAGCUAACAAUAUCGUAUGGAGCAUAUAGAGGUAAAUUAAGCAAUUAGGAAAACUUAAUCAUAACGGAAUGCUUCCUACAUAAUGAACAUAAGGGCCUAAGAAAUCUAAAGGCAAAUUCCCACAAAUAAGUCCAAGCACACACUCGUCACCUCGCAUACAUGGACUACAAUUAGCAUAGAAGACUCAAAUCCUAAGGGUAAGUCCCCCACACAAGGUUAGGCAAGGUACUUACCUUUUUGAAGUUAGGCCGAUAUUCCAUAAUAGCCUUCUUGUUUGAAUUGACCUCCGAGAGGCUCAAAUCUAUCCAAAUUAAUUGUAUAACUUUAUUAAUAAAAAAACAUCAUAAACAAUUCUGGAUAAUAAAACAUCGACUUAAAAAUUCACAUUAAGAAGUCAACCAAAAGUCAACGCGGGACCCACCUCUCGGAACCCGACUUGAUUUUCAUGAAAUCCAAAUACCCAUUCCAAUACGAGUUCAACCAUACCAAUUUUAUCAAAUUCUGACAUCGGAUUGUUCUUCGGAUCUCAAAAAUUCAUUUUAGAAGUUUCUAUAAUUUUUCUCCAAAUUUUCACCCCAAAUCACGAAUCAAAUGAUGAAUUCAAUGAUAGAUUCAUGUAUUCUAGCCAAAUCCGAGUUAAAAUCACUUACCCCAAUGAAUUUUCUUGAAAAACCUUCGAACAAUCGCCAAAAUCCGAGCUCUCUAGGUCAAAAUAUGAAAUAAAACCCUAAAACUCGUAUUUAUAGUUCACCUCCCAGAUUUUACCAAUGCUAACCGCAAAAAAUCGACCGGUGACCGCACAAAAUCGAAUGUUGUCCGCGGUGGAUUUGACUGCAGUGACAGUCUUUGGUAUAUUGGCCAUAACCUUCGCUACAGAUAUCCAAAUGUCUAUUAUAAUAUAUUUCUGAACACUAGAUUCAAAUAUCUACAACUUUUGUUUUUUGAAUCAUCUGCAAAUUCCUUGUAGAUCAAAAGAUAUGAGCUUCCGAUGUCGGACCAGCGAUCCUGCGGACCAUUUUUGGUGUGCGGCCACACAUCAUUUUGGUGCGGUCCACACUCCCAAAAGUUCCAGAACCAUCUCAGAGCUCCGAAAUGUCCGGACUCACUCAAAAUUCACUCUGAAACUCAUCUAACGCCCCCGGGACCUCAACCAAAUAUACCAACACAUCCCAUAACAUCAUAAAGAUUUAGUUGAGCCGUCAAAUUACUCAAAACAAUACCAAAACACCAAAUCCACCUCGAGUUCAAGCCUAAGGACUUAGGAACUUUCAAAUUUCACAAACAACGCCGAAAUCUAUCAAAUCAAGUCUGAUUGACCCCNNNNNNNNNNNNNNNNNNNNNNNNNGUAAAAUUUCCCAAUUGCAACUUCACAUUCUCACCAUUUCAAACCUAAUUAAACUACAACCUUCCAAAUAAUUUUCCAUACGGUGCUAUUGAAAUCGUCAAAAAUCCAUUCCGGAUUCGUUUACUCAUAUUUCACCUUCCGGUCAGUAUAAUUCAACUUAAGCUCUCUUCUUGGAGACUAAGUGUCUCAAUUCCUUUCAAAACCUUUCCGAACCCGAACCAAUUUCCCCAGUAAGUUAUAUAAGAACCGUGAAGCAUGAAUUUUGCAGUAUAUGGGGAAACGAGGUUGUACUUAUUCAAAAUGAUCGAUCGGGUCGUUACAUUAUUUGACAAAGUUUGCAAUGCCUCACCGAUCUGUUGAGCAAUGAAUUGCUUCAAUUCAUCUUGAAAAUCUGAUUGUUCUUCAUUUUGCUGCUCAAUGUUGCGGACCUACUGUGAGUUGUCAUUUGAACAUUGAGGAGAAUAUGUAGGUGAAUUUCUUGGAGCCGAUCCCCUUUGUCCAUUCCCCUGCUGAGUAAUUUCAUCAGUUCCAAACAUAAUUUAUUGAUAUAAUGUAAAUAUAAGAGUGCAGUAAAUUUAUUUGCUUUACCUGAAGAAAAAGAUUUAGGAGUAGCAGGAGUUCUGGCCUAAGAAGAGGAAGCAGAAUUUGAAGAACUUUCUUUAGAAGAAAAAGUAUUUCUAUUUUCUAUGGAACCUAUACUAUGACGUCUUCCACCCCUCCUUCUACUUCUUACUGGAGCCAUAGUAGAAGGAAGAUCAUCGACUAUAAUAGCACGGCGAGGAGAAGUAGUAGAAGUAGUAGGGGACGAAGUUUUGGAAGCCAUUGGAGAUAAUAAAGAGGGAAGUUAAAAGAAGAAAUGAAAAAUUGCAGAAAAGGUUAGAAGGAGAAGACAAAAACGAAAGAAAGAAGAAGGAGAAUUUUUUGAGAAUGUAAAGUUUCGUAUUUAUAAGGGAGAGAUAUGUCAUCAUAGACCGUCAUUAUGGAACUGUCAUCUCAGGUUGACAGAGUUGUCUGUGCCUGAAAAACCACUGCAAACUUCAAAACCAAUCACGUUUAGACACGUGUCUCGAGCAUUAAAUAGAAAGAGUGCAUGUCUCUUAACUUCUACAACAUGUCAUAAUGAUCUCAGGAAGACAUGACAAAUAUUCCCCCCAUAAAUAAACACUUCACUUUCCAAAUAUUUAGUUAAGAAUAUCCAUAAAGUGGGAAAACUAUCUGUAUUAGUGGAAAACAAACUCGCCAUGUAGACUAAUACUGCAAUGACAGGUGUCAUGGGAGUCAAUACCACAAAAAAGGGUGACAUGUUCAGAAUGUGUACAUAAUACCUUCGAGAUUGGUCGUGUAUGCAUCGUGCCUAUUAGUCUCGGUGCUAAACAUAAGAGAAGUCACGAGACUGAUAAUUGGGGUCAUUAAUAGCUACAAGUAAGGAAAGAAUCAGUCAAUCCCUACUUAUAUACGACUUGCUACCAUUAUCUCAACUGUUACAAAUCAAUCACGUAACAGGCAAUUAAUGCAAUAAAUGAUUGUAAUAGGUAGGAGAAAAACAAGGCAAAUGGUUACGAGUAGUAGUACUAUUUAAGCCCCCUUCCAUAAUGUGUAUCCCCAUAAAAAUUCAUCAAGUCAUACUGUUAAUCAUAGAAUUUUCUUAUCAUUCUGUAUUGUCAGAAGAUUAACUCCUUCCUUUCGGAAAAGACUGCAAUCGUCAAUAAGAUUAUUAUUUCUUUUAUUCUCUUAAUUUAUUUUAUUUAUAGUUAUUAUUCCUAUUUCGUAUCAACUAUAUUUGAAAAAAAGAAGUAAAUCGGUUGUUUGAAAUCCGAAGUAUUCUAAUAAAUUGCUUUGACUUCAAAAAAAAAUUGGGUUUGUAUACGGGUAAAAUCAGGGAUAAAAGUUACCCCCGAUUUUUCAAUAAAGAGACAAGAGGACACGGCCACCAGAUAUAGUUUUAGGUAAUGCCGAGGGCUUCCACAUAUCAGAACACGAGGAGGACAAAUGGUGCGACCGGAAUCGGACACGGCCAAGCGUUGAGCCCGAGAAAAGUGAAGAACAGAGGCUAAGGGACAGGCGACUAGACAGAACAAAUGAGGAGCCAAAAUAUAUCAA